AUCGUUACAUAGUCAUGGUUUUCUAUCAGUCGUUCGAAAGUGUUUUGUACGUGUGCGCAUUUUCAUAAACGGUGUUGUGCUACAAAAAGAAAACGAAGAACUUCGAAAGAAAAUGGAUCUUGAAGCAAGACGUCCACAGAAAGAGGAUGAAACAGAAAUGGAUCAAAUUACAGAAAGUGAUGAAGAACAAAAUACUUUGGACGAGUACAUUGCCCGAGGUAGUAUACGAAUGGAAAAUCAAGAUGAGUAUUUUGAUGAAGAUUUCGAGGAACGUGCAAAUGUGUGGCGCUAUUCCGUUGCAAAUAUAGAAGCCAACCAAAGAUUUUGUGCCCUGUUUACGGAUUUGGUUAAGAAGUAUCUAAGACCUGUGAAGAGGAAAAAUGCAAGAAAACCUUUAGAAAAAGAUAUACUAACGACAAUAGUACUUGACCAGCUUCAAUUAUUAGGAUUAAUAUAUAAGGAACCUGUAGAAGGUGACCCUGAAAAGUUCAUUGUUUUCACAUGCAACUCUGAGAAGAAGUCUGAAAUAGAGAAAAAAUAUAGUAGUAUGUCUAAAGAAGAAAAACUACAUAAACAAGAGGAGUUAGAAAAAUUUGAGGACAACAGUUACUCAGUCUCACGUCCACUGUCACAUAAUCGCAAACUACGCGACUAUAAGAUAGAUAAUCUUAAAUCUGAAACUGAUGAGACAUCAGAAUGUGACAUAAGUGCAAAACCAUCCACCAGUUUCACCGAAUAAAAGAAGGUACCAUUAAGCUUGGAAUUAUAUUUACCUUCCACCCUGAUAAGAAGCUUCCCACUGCUCAAAAGUUUUAUAGAGUCACUGAACGAUGAUAAAGUUAUCUGUAUAAAACAUUUUGCGCACGUACUUCUUGAAGAUCUUAAAUAUCAACACCAGAAACAUUAACAACACAAAAACCAACAUCACACAAAUCAACACCACAAACACCAAUACAAAAAAAAAAACACAAGAAACUUGACACAACCUCUACAGAAACUUCUAUUGUCACUGACGUCAAAAGAUGCUCAUCAGAUAGUGACAUUAUUGAUACAACUUUAUGUAAAAGCAUUAAUGUUUCUACUUGUACAGAAAAGUGAACCAUAUCGUGCCCGAGAUCGAAGGAGAAUGGCGCGCGGUAGUAGAGUUAGCCAGAGAAGGUAUUUCCGAGAAAUACUUGACACGGUACGAUAUGAUGCACUCCUCUGUACGUAUGCGGUUUUACGUAGGGUAAGUCGGGGAGAGAUAGACCACUUUUUUUUUAAAGUUGAAUUACGUAAUAAAUAAUAGAACAAAUAAAACAUCAUUCAUGUAUGAUUUACUACAUGUGUUGAACUUAUGAUUAUAAUAGGUAAUGAAGCAAAGAACAUUAUACUUUUUUAAAAAAUUGAAAUAUGAAAAAGUAUAACAAUGGUUUAUCUAUUUUUAUCCCCUUGGGUGAGUUGGACUACUCUAUAGAAAAUAGAUGGAUCUCUACAAAAAUUUACAUUUUUUUAACAAAAACACAUUAUUACACUUAAUUUUAGAUAUACUUUACAUUGUGUAACAAAUACGCACUGUUAUUCUUAGUUGCAUUUUAUAAUUUUCUUCUACUCAUUUCUUCCCUUUAAAUAAAAUCUUUAAUUGUUCUUCGGCCCACUUGCCUAUUUCCAAGGCAUAUUUGCAGUUAUAAGUUAUCUUGGCAGACUGAAAAAACCGAUAAAACAACAGUGCAGUUUUUUACACAAGAAAGUAUUUGACAAUUUGUACAUAUGAAAUCUUUAAAAAUGUUUCAAAUUGAUAGAAUAUGUCGAGAAACGUAAGAAAAUAUGUAUCCAUUUGAUCGUUUCACAAACAAAGAUUGAUGAGCUAGAAUUUUUCACACCUACUUGAAAUUAAAAAUACAAAAUACUAAUCUGUUAUACAAAUGCGAUUCAAAUAAAUACUCUCCUGCUUUUUUUUGUAAGUACGCACUUAGAAAUACACUCAUAAAUACACGCUGCCAUCUAACAAAUAGUUGAGGAAAUAUGCAUGUGGUCCAUCUCCCUCUGACCAGGCGCGUUUUUAAGACUGGUAAAACUUCGGUGCAAGGACAAAGAUGAGAGGGCCCUUUAAUUAAUAAUAAUAAU